AUCACUUAGUUGCAGACUCCUGCGUAGAACAGACAUCAAUAUGAAGAUUAUUCUAGUACUUACACUCCUUCUCAUCGGAAUCAUCGUGGUGGAGACCCGGGCCUCCGUGAGAUGUACUACAGAGUUUUAUCCCGUUUGCGGCACCAAUGGCAAAUCAUACUCCAAUCGUUGUCUGUUGAGUGCAGCGGGGGUCAAAAUGGCGCACGCAGGCGAAUGCAAACAGCUUAGAAUACUUGACAGUUUGAUGUAAAUUCUUUACCGUAAUAAGUUAGUUUAGUUAAAAUAUAAAACAAAUAUUGAUCAACGUAUUUUUUUUCAAUGUUUAAGUAGUCAUAAGGUGGUUAAUCGUCUGAUUCGUCCCGCUACGGAACGCGGAGCGACGGAGCAGGAGUUCUGCCAUACUUCGGUGUAAUCUGCUCAACCGCGCGGUGAUGCGGAUGACGCCCUCGCGCUAAAUAAACUCAUGUGUUCAGUGUAUUGUCGAUCGUCGUGGAGAAUGGACAAACUCAUUCAAUUUUAAGAUGUUGCAAUUAUAUUGUCGUUUUGGUUUUUUAAAUCAUGUAAUCAGCAUCAUUUUACAAUUCAAUAUCUUCUCUAAUAAAAAGAAAAUCGAAUCAUGUACUAAAAAUAUGUAUCACGCGCCCCGCGCUUCCGCGCGGAUUGGCGGAAACUGCGCGCAUUUCUACGUCGGCAGUGUGUUGUGCUAAGCGUGAUUUCUGAAUAAAUUGAGAUACUUGCAUACAAUGGCAAAAUUAUAUGAUUUAAUUACUGGUUAAUAAAUA